UUCUCCUAUUGAUGUCAUCACUCAUGUUCCAAUUUUGUGCGAAGAAAUUGAAAUUCCCUAUGUUUACGUUCCCUCAAAAGAAGAUCUAGCAAAUGCAGGGGCCACAAAGAGGCCAACUUGCUGUGUUUUGGUAAUGACCAAGCCUGCCAAGGGAGAACUGAGCCCAAAGGAACUGGAAAAACGAAAGUCAGAAUAUGACUAGGUUAAAGCAGAGGUUUCAGAACUUGCAGCCACACUUUUCUAAGAGAAGUAAUUUUGUUGCCCUUCUUGUACUCGUAGCUGUUUAACUUAGCUUCUUUUAUGCUUCUUCCUUGAUGUAAUACUUUCAAUUGCACUGUGGCUCAGUUUUGUAUCAUAAUGUUUUCUUUCCCAGUCAUCUUUAUUUUAUUUUUUAUUGGAAACUUUGAAUGUCUGUUUUAAGGGGUAGCGACUAGUGAAUUUGCAUAUCCCAAUUUUAGUAGGGACAUCAAUUUAUACUACUGGCCAAAAGAAUGAAAUCAUUAUGGUAAAAUUGUAUGUUUAGUCAUUAUAUGGGGUUUGACAUUUUUUUCUCUUAAUUGUCUAUAUGGUUUCCAUUUGUGGCUCCAUGUAAAUGUUAUGUCGAGUCAUUUAGUGCAUGUAAUGUAUGUAUCAAAAUCAAGACUAAUUAAUCUUGACUUAUGUCUCAUCAAAGAGGUGAUCAGGAUGUGAUGGUCUUCAGAAAUCCAUUUGUGACCUUGAGUUUCUUGACACUUCUCAA